AUAGUGCAAGAUAGUCCGUCCUAGCGGAACCGGACACCCUCGGUCUGUCUGUCUGGUUCCGGUCAGGGAUCGGGUCCAGUAAACCCGAAUGAAAAUGGCGUCCGCCGGUCCACCAGACAUGGGCUUAUCUGCCCCUCCAGGGUCCAGCGGAGUUCGAAAGAUGACUGCAACAGAGAGUAUGAAGAAGACCAUUGGUCAUCGGGGAGUUGACCCCACAGGAGAAACCACUUACAAAAAGACGCCCUCCUCCGCCCUAAAAGGUGCCAUUCAGCUUGGCAUCACGCACACGGUGGGCAGCCUCAGUCAGAAAGCUGAGAGAGACGUCCUCAUGCAGGACUUUUACGUAGUGGAAAGCAUCUUCUUUCCCAGUGAAGGAAGUAAUUUGACUCCAGCACAUCACCAUGGUGACUUCAGGUUUAAGACCUAUGCUCCCAUUGCCUUCCGCUACUUCAGAGAACUCUUUGGCAUUCGACCUGAUGACUAUUUGUACUCUCUUUGUAAUGAUCCCUUAAUUGAACUGUCCAACCCUGGAGCAAGCGGAUCGAUAUUUUAUGUCACUAGCGAUGAUGAGUUCAUCAUUAAAACAGUGCAGCACAAGGAGGCAGAAUUCUUGCAGAAACUUCUUCCCGGAUACUUCAUGAAUCUGAAUCAGAACAAGAGGACAUUGCUUCCAAAGUUUUACGGCUUGUAUUGCGUGCAGUCGGGCGGAAAGAAUAUCCGUAUCGUUGUAAUGAAUAACCUUUUGCCGCGCAGUGUGCCUAUGCACUUCAAAUAUGACAUGAAGGGUUCCACAUACAAGCGACGUGCCUCCCCUAAAGAGAGAGAAAAGGUCAUCCCCACUUACAAAGACCUGGACUUUAUCCAGGACAUGCCUGAGGGCAUUCAACUAGAACCUGACAACUACAGUGCCCUCUGCAAAACCAUUCAGCGAGACUGCCUGCUGCUGCAAAGCUUUAAGAUUAUGGACUACAGUCUGCUGGUGGGGAUCCAUAACCCGAAUCAGGUGUCUCAUGAAAGGAUGGGUGUGGUGGAGGGUGGAGUGUCAGAUGGGGCCGUGACACCGGACCACAGGAGACCGCAGGUGCAGAAAGCUCUAUAUAGCACAGCUAUGGAGUCCAUACAGGGAGAAGCCAAAGGGAAAGGAUCACUGGAAACAGAGGACCAGUGGGGAGGAAUCCCAGCACGCAACAGUAAAGGAGAGAGGAUUCUGGUUUAUAUUGGUAUCAUCGACAUCCUGCAGUCUUACAGAUUUAUAAAAAAAAUAGAGCAUUCCUGGAAGGCCUUGGUCCACGAUGGGGACACAGUCUCUGUGCAUCGGCCAGGAUUCUAUGCUGAGAGAUUCCAGCGUUUCAUGUGCAACACAGUUUUUAAGAAAACACUAAAGUCAUCCCCCUCAAAGAAGAGUCGAGGAGGCUGUUCUAGUGUUGUGAGACGGCUUCCCAUGGGAUGUGCUGCUCCCGCACCCAGUGGACACGCGGUCACUGAUGCCAGCCUUGUGUACUGUACACAUCUUAACCAAGCUGACACAGAAGGAGAGAGCAGUUUGCAGUCUGGCAGACCUGACCUGCUCCAACGAGCGGAUCAUUUGGCUGCAAGCUCCAGUGAAUUUGUAGAGACAAAUCUGUCCAACUCCUCACUGGGCAGCACAGGAAUGACAUCAUCAUCACCUCCUACAAGGUCAGUAGGAGUUGAGGUGCACAAAUCUGCAAUCACAGAGCCUGACAACAGCACCCCAUACAGCAUGGGAGCUGAAUACUUAGAUGAGCAGUUAAGCAAUGAAGAUGCCAUUUCACUUAAAGACAUCAUCCCAGAAACUGACAUUUGUUUUUAAGAGCAGAGCUGACUGAUGACAGAGGAGAAUUUGAAAAGAGACGAGGGCACAGAAACUCAUGAAAGAUGAUGGGCGCCUCUUGAGCGCUGCUCUUGAAAGCAGCACUUUGGUUUGAAAACACACAUUUCUGCUGGAUACAGAAAUUGCAUGGCCUCCAAACACAUGGACUAACAUGGAUUUGCUUGAGGACACUUCAGAUGAACAUGCUACAGAUAUUUUUUUUCAACAAUGCAUGUUUUUGUUUUUCUAGUUACUAACCAUUUCAUACUAAAGCUUUUUUCUGGCAAUACACAAUCCUAUAAUGUGUAGAGAAGACUGUCAAGACUUUCAGAAAUUAGAAUUUCAGGAAUGUGAGCUGAAAUUAUAUUUUAACGAGUUUAAUCUAUAGGUGAGAAAUUUUGAGAAACUUCUCAACUGACUACCAGUUGACAGCACACAUGUAUUUUAACUACAUAAACUUUCCUAGGUACAGUUUCACUCACCCUGAAAAUAAACCAAUUAUUUGAAUGAACUGAGUGAAGAAACAUGGAAGACAAUGGAAACUUGGCACAUAUGAACAUUUUAGUUAACAGAGGAGCUGGAAAGGAAACCAAGGAGCCUUUUGCCCAAUAUGAGCUCUCUGAUAAAUCCACCUUCCCAUUAUCUGAACAAUACAGCUUCUGCUUCUCAUCCUCUUCGAUCAUGAAAUUGAACAGAGGAAGUCAUUUUUAAUGGGGCCCAUUUUGUGACAGCAUUACUUCCACUUAAGUGCCCAACCACACGUUUCUUGUUGGCUUGGAUACCUCUGCCACACAGAUCUGAGACUGUAGUUUUGAAGUAUUUAGAAGAAUAGCUGACAGUAAUGGACUGAACAAUGGAGUCUUUAACAAUAAUUUUGUGUUCUUAUUGAAAACUGUUGAUUCAUCUCUUAUAAACAGUAGUGUGGGACUGAAGUAAUCUUUUGCCAAGGAUUUGCCCUUGCAGGUAGAAAAUGCACCUGAAGUACAUUAACUGUCUUUCCCAAGACUGUUAUUGAUGAAAGUACAGAAUAGCUUUCAAUCUUCACAGUGGAUGCAGUAUUUAUGCACAUUCAAGUUUUUUUUUUUUUUUUUUAUGUAUGUAACGCAUGCUAAUCAAAUUGUAGAAUAUACAGAUAGAAGUCAAUCGAUUUUAUGAUGAAGUAAUGGCAAAAUUUGUUUGGCCAAGUGGGUCGAUUUAUUUAUUGUUCAUCUUGCUCCUUUGGUUUGGAUCAUUUCAGUGUAAUCUUUGUCAGAUAUCUCACAUUAAGUCUUGUUACGGAACGUUUUGAUCAUGCAGCUUAAUGCUGCACAAAACUUAAUACAGCUGGGGAUAAUAGCAAAAACAGCUAGGUUGGUUCACUUAUUACUAUAUCUGAACUACUAGUUGUCCUCUGCAAUUGUACAUUAAAGGAUUUUUAUCAAUAUUAAUUUUGACACUGAUCUUACAAACAGAAAUAUAUGCAAUUAAAAGGAAUAUUCCAGGUUCAAUACACGUUCAAUUAAUAGCAUUUGUGGCAUAAUAUUGAUCACAAUUUUAUUUUGACCACUCCUUUAUAAGCAAAAAUCUUGGUUCCAGUGAGGCACUUAAAAUGGAAGUGAAUGGAGCCAAUCUGUAAACGUUAAAAUACUUACUGUUUGAAAAUGAUAGUCUCUAGACUAAACAAUAUGCGUGUAAUAAUGUUGCAUACUAACCUUUUUUAUUGUGUAUAGUUAUAGCCAAUUUUACAAUUUUGUUGCCUUGACUAAAAAAAGAUAUGUUUUAACGAUGAUUUAAACAAUGUUACAGCUCAAAUGAUACAUGAGUUUAACAUAAGAAUUAAUGUGCUUUUAUAAAAUUAUAAGCUUCACAUUUCUGCCUUUAAACCAAAUUGGCCCCCAUUCACUUCCAUUGUAAGUGCCUCACUGUAACUUUUUGUGCAAAGUUUCUGCAUUGCAAAAGAUUUUAUUUUUUAUUAACAAUACCCAAAUUAACAACUUACCAUUGCAAGUUUACAGUAGAGUUUCCUCUCUUUGUUUAAGGUUGUGAUGAAACCCAAUCACUUUUAUAAAAAUGGGCUAAAAGUGCACAUGAUUGUAAUAAUUUCACUUUCAACCAUGUGGCAUUUUGUCUUUUAUCUGCUCUGCGUUUCAAUGCUUUUUAAGACCUUUUUCAAAUUAAGUUGAUUUAAGGUUUUGUGGAUACGUAGCAAAAACUGAUCUUGGAUCACCUCUCAGUGGCUCAGUUUCAUUCAGUUGGUUUGUGGGGUAGAUUUUUGCAUGGGUUGAAAUCUAAGCACACCAGAAUAGAGUUUAUAGUCCAGAUUUUUAUCCUUCACAAUUCAGACCUCACUCUUAUUCCUGUUUCUGUGCGAUUUUAUUUUUGUUAUUAAUAUCUAACCUUGUAAACCCAACCCAUGUUUCUGAUCUCAAGAUGACAAGACUCACUGCUCUCUGACCCAUAACUCACUACAGAGCCGUGUCUGUUUUUUUCAUGAGCUUGAAAUGUUUUUAAGUCUUGCUAGGAUUCUGCUCCUCUGAAACCACACUAAACAUAUUUACUCACCCAGAAUAUUGUCUCACUUCUACAAUGGUCCCAAAAGAGACGCUGUUGGCCUUACACGAAAGUAAACUGAGAGGGAACUCUUAAUGCAUUGAGCAGUCAAACAGAUGGUCAUUCUUCAAAUGCUUUAUAGCCCCUGCAGGGCUUUGCCCAGUGUUUUGUAACUUUAUUGAGAAGAUUUGUUUUGAUUAGUAACUAUAGUGAAACUAAUAAAUGCAUAACAGACACAUCAGUCAUGCACAGUAGACACAGUAUCAAAUUUUGAUAACUCAGACAUGAAAGAGACAACCAACCUAUUUCAAUUUAAAUGUUUCUGCCAACAUAUUUCAAUGAUUGUAUUUAUUAAGAAAUGUCUUGUUUUUUAUUUCGCCUAUUUACCUUGUUUGCCUGUAUGACUUUUGAAUGCUAUAUGUAUACGUAGAUGAUUGUAUUAUGUAAUCUAGCAGAAAGUCAUUUCUGUAAUUUAAAUAGUGCACAUCUAAUGCAGCGUACUGUGCAAAAGAUUUAGGCACUUGUGAAAAAUGUUGCAUAGUGAGGAUGUCUUCAAAAAUAAUUGAUAAUUUAUACAUUUAUGUCAUACAGUUUUUCUUGGUUGUUGGCAGAUAGGAUGUUCAAAGCUUCUUGGAGAAUUCACCAAAGUGCUUCUAUCUAUUUAGACUGUCUCAAUUGCUUCUGUGUCUUUAUGUAAUCUCAGACUGACUCGAUGUUCAGUGGGGGGCAUGCUAUCUUUUGCAGGGCUCCUUGUUCUAUUCUAUUCUCUUUGCAAAAGAAUGUUUGGGAGUCUAAAAUGUAUAUUUCCUAUUGACACUCUAUAGCUGAAGAUAUAAUUAACCAUCUUAAGACAAAUGUGUUUAUGAAACAUCUUAUGUGCCAAUAAGACUUUUGCACAGUACUGUAUUUUGGGUGGGAGGGAAGCUCUUGACAAUAUAAACUAUAAAAAAAAAAAAAUAUUUUUUUGUAUUUUAUGUUUAAGAUUAUGGUUAAUGUUCCCAUUCUUUAUAUAUCUGUUAAAGCUUUUCAGCUUCUCUACAUAUGAAUGUUGAAUGGUGCCAGGAACAAUGACUUAAGACUAUUUUUACUGGGCCUGUAUAAAAUGUGUAUAUAAUAUGUAUAUAAGCAAGUCACGGAAAUGCCUUUUUCUCACGUGGGGUUUCCAGCAGGUUUCUUCUACCAUAUUUCAGUAAUGUGGUGGUAGUGUUUUUUCACAUUGCCAUUCAGAAAAACAAAAUAAAAAUAAAAUAUUU